rnacentral:rRNA from 1 species
UACGGCGGAGGCAAGCGUUAUCCGGAAUUAUUGGGCGUAAAGGGUACGUAGGCGGCUGGUCAAGUCUGGGGUCAAAGGCCACAGCUCAACUGUGGGAAGGCCCUGGAAACUGGCCGGCUAGAGUGAGGUAGGGGUUGCGGGAAUUCCCGGUGUAGCGGUGAAAUGCGUAGAGAUCGGGAAGAACACCUGAGGCGGAAGCGCGCAACUGGGCCUCAACUGACGCUGAGGUCCGAAAGCUAGGGUAGCGAAUGGG